rnacentral:rRNA from 1 species
CCUGCUAAAGAAAUAAUUUUAAGUACCGCCUGCCCACUGAUUUUGAAGGGCCGCAGUAUACUGACUGUGCAAAGGUAGCAUAAUCAUUUGUCUUUUAAUUAAAGGCUAGUAUGAAUGGCGAGACGUGGUAGUGUCUGUCCCAAAUUUAUUAUUCGAAUUUAAUUUGUAAGUUAAAAAGCUUAUAUUAUUCCGCAGGACGAGAAGACCCCGUAGAGUUUAAUUAGAUCCACAUUAAAUUAUUUAGAUUUUAUUUAAUUUAUGGUUUAAACUAAUUUUAUUGGGGCGAUAUGAAGUAAAUUAACACUUUAAUUUAAAACUUUUAUAAAUGUUUAUUUGAUCCUUUUUGAUGAUUAAUAAAUAAAACUACCUUGGGGAUAACAGCGUAAUCUAAUUUAAGAGUUCUUAUCAAAAAUUAGGAUUGCGACCUCGAUGUUGGAUUAAGGUUCAUUUUAGAUGAAGCAGUCUAUAAAUGGGGUCUGUUCGACCUUUAAAAUCUUACAUGAUC